rnacentral:rRNA from 1 species
UACGUAGGGGGGCAAGCGUUGUCCGGAUUUAUUGGGCGUAAAGAGCGUGUAGGCGGCCACACAGGUCUGCUGUGAAAACUCGAGGCUCAACCUCGAGCUGUCGGUGGAAACCGUGUGGCUAGAGUCCGGAAGAGGAGAGUGGAAUUCCCGGUGUAGCGGUGAAAUGCGCAGAUAUCAGGAGGAACACCGGUGGCGAAGGCGGUGGUCUGGGCCGGAACUGACGCUGAGGAGCGAAAGCGUGGGGAGCGAACAGG